ensembl:lncRNA
GUUGUGUCAGACUUUAGAGUGUGAAAAGUAGCUAACAGCUAAAUGCUCUCUCAUGUCUCGUCAUUGAGCAGAACAGCCCAACUAGAACUGUUGCUAUGGUUACUCAUCGACUCACAGAGUGCAUGCAGAGCGAGCUGCUCGCAGGGAGCAAGUUAUAGACAGAGAGGACGUUAUUUAUGAUUUCGGGUUUCGGGCAGGGCCAGGCUUUAAAUUUGCAGAAGUAAUCAGGCCUGGUUCGGGUGGGGCCUGAAUGUCGUGGGCCUGGGUAGGUAAUGAAUGUCGUGGGCCUGAAUGUCGUGGGCCUGGGUAGGUAAUGAAUGUCGUAGGCCUGGGUAGAUCAUGAAUGUUGCGGGCCUGAAUGUCGUGGGCCUGGGUAGAUCAUGAAUGUCGUGGGCCUGGGUAGGUAAUGAAUGUCGCGGGCCUGGGUAGGUAAGGAAUGUCGUGGACCUGGGCAGGUAAUGAAUGUUGUGGGCCUGGGUAGAUAAUGAAUGUUGUGGGCCUGGGUAGAUAAUGAAUGUCGUGGGCCUGGGUAGAUAAUGAAUGUCGCGGGCCUGGGUCGGUUAUGAAUGUCGCGGGCCUGGGUCGGUAAUGAAUGUCGUGGGCCUGAAUGUUGUGGGCCUGGGUAGGUAAUGGAUGUCGCGGGCCUGGGUCGGUAAUGAAUGUCGUGGGCCUGGGUCGGUAAUGAAUGGCGUGGGCCUGGGUCGGUAAUGAAUGUCGUGGGCCUGGGUAGAUAAUGAAUGUCGUGGGCCUGGGUCGGUAAUGAAUGUCAUGGGCCUGGGUAGAUUAUAAAUGUCGCAGGCUUGAAUAUCACGGGCAUGGGUAUGAUUCGGGCUUAAAAUUCAUGCCAGUGCAGGGCUCUCCCAGAAUAUUCUAUAGCAUAAUGUGGUUAGCUGAUACGUAAAAUACCUAUCCAGGCUUUGUCAUUUCUGGCAUGAAUCAGCUAUAUCUGAGCAAUAUCCCUCCCCACUCCAUCUGCAGUAUAGGUUUGGUAGUCUUUAUAACAGAGUGUAUAUGCUCUGUCCUCGUUGGCUGGCUGGGUCCUUGCUGACAGGUUGGCAGUGAGAGGUAUCAUUUAUCACCAGGCCUGAGGGCUCACCACACCACAAGCACCAGAUGUUACCACCACACACACACACACACACACACACAUAUACAUACACCGUUGUGUGCUAUUGUUCUCCCUCACCGGUCUUUGUUCUUUCUCCCCCAUACACACCUGGAUAUCCACACACACACACACCAAAGCAAGCUGUCCUUCCUUCCACACAAAUGACCAGCUCAGUACUGUGUGUACUGUAGUGACUUCACCCUCACUGGUACAGCAAGGCAACAGACUGUUGAUACAUGACAUCAACAUACUGUUGACUUCAACAUAAAACACAGGACGUCCUCCAACCUAUCAGAGUUCUUGCAGCAUAAACUGACAUGUUGUCCACCCAAUCAAAGGUUGAGAGAAUUUAUCUAGUACUGAAAUCAUAAGUUACAGCUAGCUAGCACUGCAGUGCAUAAAAUGUGGUGAGUAUUUGACUCAAAGUGAGAAAAAUAAUAAUUUCUUCCAAAAUUAUGGAGAAGCAAGAAAGUGAGAAAGAGAGCUAGUUCUUGUAAUUCUUACCAGCAAUCUGGCCAUCCAAAAUCACAACAACACACUGACCUCUGCCCCAUGGAAGUGCACACAUAAUUUGUGUGACAUUGUCAGCUAACCCAUCUAUACCCCUAUGCCUGAGACGGAAGAAGAAGCAAGACAUCCCACUCCCUAAUUUUUUCUGGUUCAUAUACAGUCAAUGAACUAAGCAGACCCAUUUGCUAAUGCAUUGGUGCCUAUGAGAGAGCCACACUGUUAAGCAGACCGGAACUGACAGUGGGAGAUCUUUAUUUAUCCACCAUCUUUGGUCAGGCAUCAUUGAUGUGGUCCUUUGUACCACAGUUGGUAGAGCAUGGCAUUUGUAGCGCCAAG